CGGUGUGUUAUAAAUUACUGAAACCAGAUAGUAACGUCUGGCAACAUCACAAUGUUUUUUGUAGGAGGCGUAGAAUAACAAAAUAAUUGAGUUUUGGUAAUUGUUAUUAGAAACAUUUGUGUUUUUAACAACUACUUAAAAAAAAAAUAGUUCAAAAUAGAAGCACGACAAUGGCUUCACAUUUAGAUCCUCAGCUUGAGGAUCGAAUUUUGCAUGAAGUAAAGUCACAAGGUGUUUUCGAUGAAUUUCGCAAAGAUUCAAUGGCAGACGUGGACACCAAGCCUGCUUAUCAAAAUCUUCGACAACGUGUGGAAAGUACAGUGAAAAAAUUUCUAUCUGAACAACAAUGGACGCCCGACAUGAAUAAAAAUCAACUACGUGAGAAGUUGCGUAGACAUAUCACAGAAUCUGGUUUUUUGGAUGUAGGCGUGGAACGUAUAGUUGAUCAAGUAGUGAAUCCGAAAAUAGGCACCGUUUUUCAACCGCGCAUUGAAGAAAUUACAUAUAAAUAUUUAGGUCUGCCACCACCUCCCGUCAAACACGAACCGCCACCACCAAUCAUGCAUCCACUACCACCGUUGCCAUUGACUGGACCGCCAUUAAAAAUAGAAACCAGCAGUCUUUUGCCGACUGGACUGGAACAAGUGAGUCCUGAUUCCGAUAAAGCGACAGUAAAAUCAGAAUGUCACGGAGACGACCCAUCAGUCAUGGAUAUGGACGUUGAUGCCGAUGAUAAAACGGCAGACGAGGAUGACGAGUCACCGCCUUUCGAACCACUUGUAAAAUGUGUGGAACCAAAUACAACUAUAAAGUCAGAGAUUAAGCAUGAAUAUCAAGCUGAUAUGAAGCCGCAAUUGAACAUCGGCAAAUUCGAAGCAAUAUCAAGCGAAAGUAUGAUAAAAGUUGAAACCGGUAAUCAACAAGACUCAGAAACACAGGACACCUCCGUGUCGGCAAAUUCAACAGAUCCCGAAGUUGCGAAACAUGCCAACAUAUCGUUUGGUACGGAUGCGCUAAUAUCGCAAGAUUCUCAAUUAUCACAGGUGUCGAGUGACAGUAACAUCUCUGACGUGACUGCAAAUGCCUCACAUAGUUUCAUGGAUAAUUCCAGUACACAUAACACGCCACAAACGAUUUCCGAUCAAACAGCAGCAGCGAUUGAAUUGGCUUCUGCGAAUAUAUCUGAGGAGGCACAAAUGCCAAAAUUCAGUGAAAAUUCGUCCGAAAUGUUAGGUGCGAAGUCGGCGCCAUCUGAGCUACAUUUCGAUAUUAAAAAAGACGAGAUUAAAUUUGAAGGCACUGAGCGAAAAGCGAAUUUGCUGGAACGGGAAGGCGAAUGCAAUUCAGUAACAGGUGAUGAUAUAUCGACAAGACAAGUGAGUACUAUAGGUGAAAAUUUGGAAAGUAAGGGGGCACCACAUCACUUCGGUAAUUUAACAAUCGAUACUGAUGUGGAACGCAUGCAAGCUACAGGCAUCACAACGCCUGCAGCGACACCUACCCCCACACCUCUGGACAGCAGUUUCGGUUCUUCCUUAGAAGAUGUAAGUAUUCAGCAAUACAAAGAGGAGGGUGAAAUCGAAUCGAAAGCUGAAUCUGUGAAUGUAACAGAUGGAGUAUUUCCAAUACCCAUGCAAGAGCAGCGGGAUAAAAAAGAAGCAAGUACUUCACGCAAUCACGGUUCCUCCUCAUCGUCUUCGCGACAUAAAAAGCAUUCGAAAGAUAAACGGCGAUCGCACAGCUCAAAAGACAAGUAUAAAGAUCGGGAUCGAAGCAAAAACAGGAGUCGAGAGAAGGAUAGGAGUAGUGAUAGGGAUAGAAGUAGCGAUAAAAGUAGACACAGAGAAAAAGACAAGCACAGAGAUAAAGAUAAGAAUCACAAGGAGAAGGAUAGAAGCAAGGAUAGAUCACGCACACACGACAAUAGUACAAAGAGUAAGAAUGAUAGUACCGAACGUAGUAGUAGCUCCAAACGGUCUAGCUCCUCCACCGGUCGCUCUCAUGAUACAAGUUCAAGUAACAAAAACGAAAAGCACGCCACAUCGAAAACUUCAAACGCUUUCACAUCUUCAUCAAGUUCGUCGAGCCGAUCUGAAAGCCACGACGUGAAGCGUGAGAAACGUGAAAAUGAAAAGAAGCAUCAUCGAAGCACUUCAAACAACGGUGGUAGCGCAAAAAAAGAUGAUGGCAGUGCAGAAAAUACCAAAACUGAAGCACCCAUUGAUGAUCACAAUAGCGAAAGGGUGAAUCAAGUGCGGCGACACAAAUCAACCGAUUCGAAUGACGAAGGUGGAGGUGCUAAUGGUGCUAGUCGUAAAAAUGGCGGCAGCGAGCGCGAAAAAGCUGGUCAGAACACCACAUCAAACAACAACGAUAAGAAACCAAGUCAAAUUAAAGAUACGAAGAACUCUUCGCAUAGUCCAAAAGAGAAGUCAAAAAGCGAACACGAAGAGAAACCUGCUGUAGCGUCGACUAUGAUAACUGAAGAUGUAAGUACAAAUGCGUUGGCGACACAACCACACGGCAAUAAAGUAGUAAUUUUAAGUGAUAUGCUCGAAAAUCCCAACAUCAAUUUCAUCGAUCUGGGACCAUCAUCAGCCACAUAUACUCACACCUCUGAGAUGAUUGUGAAAGAUUGUCAAAUAGACAACACAUCAACUAAACGCGCUAUUACACCAGUCGUGCAGAAUACUCAAGCUGCAAGCGCGCUCACUACAGAUGAUGAGCGCCAGCUACUUUUCUUCGAAGAAGCAAGUGAACAGUUUUCUGAUCGCUUGCGUCUCAUAGAUAACGCCAUGGAUCGCUGUCGGCGUGUGGUUAACAAUUUACGUUUCGAUUGUGUUAAUGAGUUGUGCGACAAUUACGAACAACAGCAAAAUGAAGGCGAAACAGACGACGGUAAAAGACCACAAACAUGUGCUACUUUAACGAUCGAUUGUGUGCCCACCUAUGCUGCGGAGCGUGAAUAUUUCAACAGCGGCGAAAGAAGUGCGGGCAGCUCGGUCGGUAGUACAUACGAUGGCGUUCACAACUUACAUGGGAAACGUAAACGCAAUAAUAACGGUAGUCUUGUACAAAGUAAGCCCUCACCCACGCCAUCCGAUGCGAGCGUGAAUUCCAAAGAGAAUAUGGCGUUGGAUAAAAAUGCCGAUAUGCAUACAAAUUAAAUCAAAGAAAAGCAAAACUCAAUAUGAAGCGAUUAAUAGGUACUGGUAAAAAUGUAGCGUCUACGCGUAUCGCAUGACCUAAUAACAUAGUCAGUUAUAAAAGAGUUCAUUAAAUUAAAUGUAAACAAAAAACCAAAACAAAAACAAAAAUGUAUUGUAUAUCCUACAAAACAUGCUGGAUGAGGUGAAAUGCGUUCGCCGCAUUGCGUCUGUAAAUAAAUUGAGUCAACAGCGUUAUAACAGUGAGGAUCUGUACAAACCGCGUCCUAUUUUAAGUCAACGUUCACGUCGUAGAGGUAUGGAUACCAUAAUCUAGAAGUAGAUGUUGUUUUAUCAGCGGCGUAAUAAAAAAAAAUAUUUAAAAUUUAAAAAUUUAUAUACAUUGCUUAAAUAAAGAAAAAAAUAUA